UAGCUGUAAGACACUCCUGCAAUCAAAGUCAAGAAUGUGCUUUAGGUACCCAAACCAUGUUGGGUCCUUUAAGGUUAGUACUUGAUGUUCCUUUUGGAACCCAAAUUUUCUUGAACUUUAGCUUACUUUUAUCACUCAAUUUGUUAUAGCUAGGCUUUCUAAGAUUACAUUCAUAUGCUUUGUGUCCUACUUUAUUGCAGCAAUGACAAGUUAUAUUUUCAGUUUUGGCAUUCACAAAUAUGUUCUUUAAGUAUUUUUGCUUCCUAUUUGUUUUAUAUCCUAAACCAGCCUUAUCAUAUACAGCUUUUUGACUAUCAAGAAUCAUAUUUAAUUU
rnacentral:lncRNA from 1 species